rfam:Euryarchaeota archaeon 13_1_20CM_4_64_14 13_1_20cm_4_scaffold_3222, whole genome shotgun sequence.
GGACCCGUCGCCUAGCACGGAUAGGGCACCGGAUUUCUAAUCCGGCUGUCGAGGGUUCGAAUCCCUCCGGGUCCG